GCCUAGCCCUAAACUUAGAUAGCGACUUACCACCUAUCCGCCAGAGAACUACAAGUAAAAUACUUGAAACUCAAAGGACUUGGCGGCAUUCCAUAUCAACCUAGAGGAGCCCGUCCAAUAAUCGAUACUACGCGCUUAACCCAACCAUUUUUGGCCACUCCAGCCUAUAUACCGCCGUCGUCAGCUAACCUUGUGAAAGAAAAGUAGUAAGCACAAUAGCCCUCGCUAAAACGUCAGGUCAAGGUGUAGCUAAUAAAAUGGCUGCGAUAGGCUACAUUUUCUACCAUAGAAAAUACGGAAAAUACAAUGAAAUUUUGUAAUAGAAGGUGAAUUUAGAAGUAAACUAAGAAAGCGUCCUUAUUUUAACAUCGCCCUGGAAUGCGCACACA
rnacentral:rRNA from 1 species